rnacentral:lncRNA from 1 species
UUUUCCCUCUCGGUGAAUAAAGAACAGACCUCUCGUCACUAUUCACCUACGUUCUUGCUUACGAACGUCUCGCGAACAUAUUUGCGGUUCUCCCUCAGUUUUCACGUUCUCCCUCACUUUUCACCUUCUAACCGAGCGUUUCCUCACUUUCGAGACAUUCUCACUGCCCGUUCUUCAUCACUGACACCCUGGACUGGACGUUCUCACUGUCGUUAGUCGGGCUAUCCUCACUGAACACACUGGACAUUCUCACUCAUUUCAGGUACUCUGUAUCUCUCGCUUUUAGGGUUUCGAUUUNNN